rnacentral:rRNA from 1 species
GACGAACGCUGGCGGCGUGCCUAAUACAUGCAAGUCGAACGCAGUGGGGACGGGUGAGUAACACGUGGGUAACCUCCCAUCAGAGGGGAUAACACUUGGAAACAGGUGCUAAACCGAUACUGAUGGAUGGACCCGCGGUGCAUUAGCUAGUUGGUGAGGUAACGGCUCACCAAGGCCACGAUGCAUAGCCGACCUCAGGGUGUGAUCGGCCCAACGGGGCCUGAGACAAGGCCCAUACUCCUACGUGAGGCAGCAUUAGGAAAGCUUCGUCAAUGGACGAAAUUCUGACCGAGCAACGCCGCGUGAUGGAAGAAGGUUUUCGGAUCGUAAAACUCUGUUGUUAGAGAAGCGGUAUCUAACAAGAAAGCCACGGCUAACUACGUGCCAGCAGCCACGGUAAUUC